AUGCAAGUCGAACGGUAACAGGUCUUCGGAUGCUGACGAGUGGCGAACGGGUGAGUAAUACAUCGGAACGUGCCCGAGAGUGGGGGAUAACGAAGCGAAAGCUUUGCUAAUACCGCAUACGAUCUCAGGAUGAAAGCAGGGGACCGCAAGGCCUUGCGCUCACGGAGCGGCCGAUGGCAGAUUAGGUAGUUGGUGGGAUAAAAGCUUACCAAGCCGACGAUCUGUAGCUGGUCUGAGAGGACGACCAGCCACACUGGGACUGAGACACGGCCCAGACUCCUACGGGAGGCAGCAGUGGGGAAUUUUGGACAAUGGGCGCAAGCCUGAUCCAGCCAUGCCGCGUGCAGGAUGAAGGCCUUCGGGUUGUAAACUGCUUUUGUACGGAACGAAAAGACUCCUUCUAAUAAAGGGGGUCCAUGACGGUACCGUAAGAAUAAGCACCGGCUAACUACGUGCCAGCAGCCGCGGUAAUACGUAGGGUGCGAGCGUUAAUCGGAAUUACUGGGCGUAAAGCGUGCGCAGGCGGUGAUGUAAGACAGAUGUGAAAUCCCCGGGCUCAACCUGGGAACUGCAUUUGUGACUGCAUCGCUGGAGUGCGGCAGAGGGGGAUGGAAUUCCGCGUGUAGCAGUGAAAUGCGUAGAUAUGCGGAGGA
rnacentral:rRNA from 1 species